UAGGGAAUCUUCGGCAAUGGGGGCAACCCUGACCGAGCAACGCCGCGUGAGUUAAGAAGGUUUUCGGAUCGUAAAGCUCUGUUGUAAGAGAAGAACGUGUGUGAGAGUGGAAAGUUCACACAGUGACGGUAACUUACCAGAAAGGGACGGCUAACUACGUGCCAGCAGCCGCGGUAAUACGUAGGUCCCGAGCGUUGUCCGGAUUUAUUGGGCGUAAAGCGAGCGCAGGCGGUUUAAUAAGUCUGAAGUUAAAGGCAGUGGCUUAACCAUUGUUCGCUUUGGAAACUGUUAAACUUGAGUGCAGAAGGGGAGAGUGGAAUUCCAUGUGUAGCGGUGAAAUGCGUAGAUAUAUGGAGGAACACCGGUGGCGAAAGCGGCUCUCUGGUCUGUAACUGACGCUGAGGCUCGAAAGCGUGGGGAGCAAACAGG
rnacentral:rRNA from 1 species